CUAAGACCGCAUAGGUGUAGAGAUCGCAUGAACUCUAUAUGAAAAGUGCUACGGGACUGGUAGAUGAUGGACUUAUGGCGCAUUAGCUUGUUGGUAGGGUAACGGCCUACCAAGGCGACGAUGCGUAGCCGACCUGAGAGGGUGACCGGCCACACUGGGACUGAGACACGGCCCAGACUCCUACGGGAGGCAGCAGUAGGGAAUUUUCGGCAAUGGGGGAAACCCUGACCGAGCAACGCCGCGUGAAGGAAGAAGUAAUUCGUUAUGUAAACUUCUGUCAUAGAGGAAGAACGGUGGAUAUAGGGAAUGAUAUCCAAGUGACGGUACUCUAUAAGAAAGCCACGGCUAACUACGUGCCAGCAGCCGCGGUAAUACGUAGGUGGCGAGCGUUAUCCGGAAUUAUUGGGCGUAAAGAGGGAGCAGGCGGCACUAAGGGUCUGUGGUGAAAGAUCGAAGCUUAACUUCGGUAAGCCAUGGAAACCGUAGAGCUAGAGUGUGUGAGAGGAUCGUGGAAUUCCAUGUGUAGCGGUGAAAUGCGUAGAUAUAUGGAGGAACACCAGUGGCGAAGGCGACGAUCUGGCGCAUAACUGACGCUCAGUCCCGAAAGCGUGGGGAGCAAAUAGGAUUAGAUACCCUAGUAGUCCACGCCGUAACCGAAAAGGGCUAAGUGUUGGGGGUCAAAGCUCAGUGCUGC
rnacentral:rRNA from 1 species